GAUGAACGCUGGCGGCGUGCCUAAUACAUGCAAGUCGAGCGAACGGACGAGAAGCUUGCUUCUCUGAUGUUAGCGGCGGACGGGUGAGUAACACGUGGAUAACCUACCUAUAAGACUGGGAUAACUUCGGGAAACCGUAGCUAAUACCGGAUAAUAUUUUGAACCGCAUGGUUCAAAAGUGAAAGACGGUCUUGCUGUCACUUAUAGAUGGAUCCGCGCUGCAUUAGCUAGUUGGUAAGGUAACGGCUUACCAAGGCAACGAUGCAUAGCCGACCUGAGAGGGUGAUCGGCCACACUGGAACUGAGACACGGUCAAGACUCCUACGGGAGGCAGCAGUAGGGAAUCUUCCGCAAUGGGCGAAAGCCUGACGGAGCAACGCCGCGUGAGUGAUGAGGGUCUUCGGAUCGUAAAACUCUGUUAUGAGGGAAGAACAUAUGUGUAAGUAACUGUGCACAGCUUGACGGUACCUAAUCAGAAAGCCACGGCUAACUACGUG
rnacentral:rRNA from 1 species